rnacentral:lncRNA from 1 species
UUCUCCACAGCAGGCCUCCCCCUCUUCACCUUCUUCAUCAUCAAUUAAAUUCAACAGAAACGGAUCUACUUACCUCUCCUUGCACAGGUAACUGAACCACUUCCUCUCACCAUAAAUCAAUGGAGCCGCUCGAGAGAUCAGCCACGCCCACCGCCUGUUGGUGCCCUACAAGUUGGCGGGGACGCAUCUGCGCCCUCAACGCCACAUCCCCUGUCCACACGUGCUUCCCCAUCCUCAUUCUGCCUACA